rnacentral:rRNA from 1 species
AAGUCGUAACAAGGUUUCCGUAGGUGAACCUGCGGAAGGAUCAUUAAAAGUCAUUAUUUUAUGAAACCCUUCUGUGUAUUUUUACCUGUUUGGCUUCUGGUAAAAUAGAGUAUAUAUAAACUCUCCAGAACAAAAUACUUAAACCAUUAUUUUCAAUGAUAUCUGUCUGAUUUGUAAUAAAAAAUAAAUAUUAAAACUUUCAACAACGGAUCUCUUGGUUCUCGCAUCGAUGAAGAACGCAGCGAAAUGCGAUAAGUAGUGUGAAUUGCAGAAUUCAGUGAAUCAUCGAAUCUUUGAACGCACAUUGCGCCUUCUAGUAUUCUGGGAGGCAUGCCUGUUUGAGCGUCAUUAAACCUCUCUCAAGUAAAUUUUACUUGGAUGUGAAGGAAGAGUACCUUAAACUUUAAGGAGUUCUCCUUUGAAAUUGAUUAGCAGAUGGUAUAAAGUUUACUAAAUUUCUAAUGUUAUAAGAAAUAACAAUGGUUUUUUAGACUAAUUAUCUAGCUUUAAAUUUU